rnacentral:tRNA from 1 species
CGCGGAGUGGAGCAGUUGGUAGCUCGACGGGCUCAUAACCCGUAGGUCGUGGGUUCAAAUCCCUCCUCCGCAACCA